rnacentral:rRNA from 1 species
UACGGGGGGGGCGAGCGUUGUUCGGAAUUACUGGGCGUAAAGGGCUCGUAGGCGGCCUCUUAAGUCGGACGUGAAAUCCCCCGGCUCAACCUGGGAACUGCGUCUGAUACUGGGGGGCUGGAAUGCGGGAGAGGGAUGCGGAAUUCCAGGUGUAGCGGUGAAAUGCGUAGAUAUCUGGAGGAACACCGGUGGCGAAGGCGGCAUCCUGGACCGUGAUUGACGCUGAGGAGCGAAAGCCAGGGGAGCAAACGGG